ACUUCGCCCCCGUCGACUGUUUCCUGCUUGUCUCUCCGAGGCGCAUGACUCUUUCCCGCCUCUCAUGGGUUUUACCCCCUCGCAACGCCACCGUCGCCAGUCGUCGGCACGAAUCAUGCCUUUGCAUGUACGCGCACUCGCACGCAGGAGUUCAAGCGUGCACCUGGUAACGCUGCUGAGUCUUUUCGUCUAGGGUUCGUUUCUGAGACUUACGCGUGUGUGUCUCUCCUGUCAUGAAGGAGGACCCCUUUGGCGUGGUAUCCAGGAUUCAGCGCCCGCUGCGGGCGAGGAAGCCAAGCAGCCACCCUCUCCCCUGUCAACGCCGAACCACGUCCGGUGCUGACAGGGUUAGGUACCUACGACGUGAGGAGGUCAGAGCAAUGUGUGGCUGCUGAUGCCGGAGGUGGGGCUGUGGAUGGAUCUGCGGCGGAGCGACCUGCGGCAGCGAAGACAUGUACACUAUCCAUAUUAUAGACAGAGCUGCAACGUAGUGCGAACGCAGCCCACGCGGCCCUCGCGCUGCCUCCUGGUACGGGCUGCCUCAGCCACGCCGAGGAGGACGCACGAGGUGGCGGCCGGCAGAGCGGGAGGUGGGUGGGUGUAGUUCGAGGCAGGGGCCGUGCUCGGGUGAGUGAGUCGGCGCAUCUCGUGUACCGCGUGUGUCUACGGCUGCUUGGCACCACGCGAUGGGGCCUGUGGCCGUCUUGCCGGGGGUGGCGGUAGGGUGGUGUCUGAGGCAUGCUGUGUGGCAGAAUGGCCACGUUGAAAAUAAGCAAACAAUCAUGCGCCUGUGUGCCCGAGGACAUGUGCUCAUUUUAUCCACCCACCCGCAGCUGGCACUCAGCCGAUGAACGUGGUGACACAAGGUCAAAGGAGUGGGAGCGUACUGCGAAAGGGAUAUGCGCCUUGUGUGAUAUGAGGGCGAUAUCGGGGGCAAAGUGUUGUGCGCCACGUUGAUGAGGUACGAAUCUACGGCGCUCUUCAUGCCAUUGCGCCCUUGAAGGGAUCAGCGGCACUUGUAGCAGAAGGAGACAUACCGCUGGCGCACAACAAUGUAGGGGCCAUCGUUGCAUGCGACUGUGGUGCAGUAUUG
rnacentral:misc_RNA from 1 species